rnacentral:rRNA from 1 species
AGUGAACGCUGGCGGUAGGCCCAACACAUGCAAGUCGAACGGCAGCACAGGAGAGCUUGCUCUCUGGGUGGCGAGUGGCGGACGGGUGAGGAAUACAUCGGAAUCUACUCUGUCGUGGGGGAUAACGUAGGGAAACUUACGCUAAUACCGCAUACGACCUACGGGUGAAAGCAGGGGAUCUUCGGACCUUGCGCGAUUGAAUGAGCCGAUGUCGGAUUAGCUAGUUGGCGGGGUAAAGGCCCACCAAGGCGACGCUCCGUAGCUGGUCUGAGAGGAUGAUCAGCCACACUGGAACUGAGACACGGUCCAGACUCCUACGGGAGGCUGCAGUGGGGAAUAUUGAACAAUGGGCGCAAGCCUGAUCCAGCCAUACCGCGUGGGUGAAGAAGGCCUUCGGGUUGUAAAGCCCUUUUGUUGGGAAAGAAAUCCAGCUGGCUAAUACCCGGUUGGGAUGACGGUACCCAAAGAAUAAGCACCGGCUAACUUCGUGCCAGCAGCCGCCGUAA